rnacentral:misc_RNA from 1 species
UAAUAAGUGUUUUAUGGCACUUUUUAAAUCCAUAUCCACCUUGUGUGCAAUGUCAGUCGAUCUUCUUCAUGGAGAUCGGCCAAACAUCAACCUUAUCUUUUAACUCUUUGUCUGAAAAAUAUUAUGAAUACUUAAUUCAAAAUA